GAAACAUAAAAAGAAACAAAAGCCAAAAUGGUAAAUAAACGUGCUAUUUAACUGAAAUAGUAUAGACUGAAGAGAAAAAAAGUGAGUAAUAUAUCAAAAUUACUUUGUUCAGAAUUUUUUGUAUGUUUUGAUGUCCCUGGGGAGUCUGAUCCUUCGGCCUGGUCUGUGUCCCGCAAAAGCUCCAGAGACCGUCCACAGGAAGCACAAAAAGGGGCGAAGAGGCAGAAGCUAACGCCACAAAACGGACAAAACAUUUUCCAUCUAUUUUUAAUGCAGCGAGCACGGUCAGGGUAAUGAGGAAGCGCUGUGAGGAGUGCGUUUCUCGACGUUUGUUUACAUCCCGAAUCACUUUUCUGAGCUAAAAAUAUGGAGUAAGCUUAAUCGUUGUGUCACUUCCGGUAUUUCAGACAAUCCCUUUCCGUCAAGGAUUUUUAAUUUGUUGCGGGGGUUUUGUAAUUUGUUGUGGGCUUUUUGUAAUUUGUUGUGGGCUUUUUGUAUUUUGUUGUGGGGGUUUUGUAUUUUGUUGUGGGGGUUUUGUAUUUUGUUGUGGGGGUUUUGUAUUUUGUUGUGGGCUUUUUGUAAUUUGUUGUGGGCUUUUUGUAUUUUGUUGUGGGCUUUUUGUAAUUUGUUGUGGGCUUUUUGUAAUUUGUUGUGGGCUUUUUGUAUUUUGUUGUGGGCUUUUUGUAUUUUGUUGUGGGCUUUUUGUAAUUUGUUGUGGGCUUUUUGUAAUUUGUUGUGGGCUUUUUGUAUUUUGUUGUGGGCUUUUUGUAAUUUGUUGUGGGCUUUUUGUAUUUUGUUGUGGGCUUUUUGUAUUUUGUUGUGGGGUUUUUGUAAUUUGUUGCGGUUUUUUAAUUUGUUGCGAUUUGCACUUCCCAGCCACCGUACUAAUGGCCUCUCAUAGUUUUUAUUAUCACUAUUUAUUGGUAGCAUGUUUUAGGCUACGUCCACAUGUACAUGGGCAUUUUUAAAAAAAACAAAACAAAAAAAACCAUCUUGUCCACAUGUGCAGUUUUGAAAAAAAUAUCUCCGUCCACAUGUAAACGUUAUAAAUGAAAUUUUGGGCAAUCAUAAGUCUAGAAGCCUGGGAGUUUUUAUAUUUUUGGAAAAGACAGCUAUUCUUGGUGUUACAGUCAACUGUCUGGGUGUUUGUUUCAGGCAGAACACUGAAGGUUGCAACGCUGCUAUUCCUGCAAUGAAAUAACACCACCACAUGUUGUAACAGGAAGAGCCCCCAUUUGAGGCAGGCCACAAAAUUUAGAAAAACAAAAAAUUUACAUUAUUGGGCAACAGGCAAAGAUGUUAUACAUUUAGACUAGACUAAAAGAUCCACGGAAACAAAGACUGAAUAACUUCACCACAAGUUGAGCC
ensembl:lncRNA